ensembl:snoRNA Small nucleolar RNA ACA64
ACAGUCUGAAAAUUACUUCAGCUGUUUUUGUCUUCUGGAGUAAGAUAACUGUGCCAACAGGAAGCUGGUACAUUUAGCUUAUUGUCAGCUGAUGUAGCUGCACGAUGAAACCCAUGUGCCAACACUC